AGGUUAAUAUUCCUGUACUUCCUUAGCUGCGAUGGGAGGACGGAGAAGGUUAGACCAGCCACCUGUUGGAUGGUGGUUUAAGCGCAAAGGAGUGCACUCUAGGCAAAUCCGGAGUGAUUAUCUGAAGCGUGAUGACGAGUCUCUUUUGAGACGAAGUUGUUGAUACCAUGCUUCCAAGAAAAGUCCCUAAGCUUCAGGCAAAAGGAAUCCGUACCCCAAACCGACACAGGU
rnacentral:rRNA from 1 species